CUCUGCGGCUUCCGGAAUCUUGUGGAACGGAGGGUUUUCUCAGAAGAAAACAAUCCAAGUCAUGCGGGGGGGGUAGCUUUCGAUGGCAGAGCUGGUAACAUCCCCGAGAGUGGCAGAGGCUGCUCAGGAGGUGGUGUCUGUCCCUCGGGGCUGGGCCUGGCCGUGUGCUGGAUCCCAAACCUUAGGGCAGACUCGGGCCCCUGGAGCCUCCUCCUUCCUCCCCCUAGAAGGAAAGUAAGCUGAUGAAGGGAAAUGAUGCAGCGGAGGAGGCGGGAGGGCCACAGCGUCCCGGCUGCGGGCCACGGGAGCCGAGAGGCUGUGCUGUCCUUCGGGACCACACGAGCCCGGAUCUUGAGGGGCCCCGCUGGCCUCGGGACCCCGAGAAGCAGGCGGCUGGCUCUGGAGACCUGUGAUGGGGGCCUCAGGUGCUUCUUGGCGGAGGAGCAGGGUCCCUGGUCUCUCCCCACACCGCUCCAAGCCACGCAGACCGACCUGGGCCAGGCUGGACCACAGCAGUGAGGGCCCCAAGGUUGUGGGAGGCUGGCCCGUGGUUUUGCUCUGGGUCCCUUGUCAGGUUCUCCAUAACCCAGGAAAAUGGGAAGUCCCCUCCACCGAGCAUCCUUGGGAAUAGGCCCGAGUUCUGCUUGGGAGGCCCCUGGGGUGUUUGGGGGCACUCCUCUGCCUCCCCCUCCCCCAGCUGCUGGGCGUGCUGCAGCUCAGAGGGUCCUGGAGGGUCCUGGCCACAUUCAGAGACUCAUUUCUGAAGGUUUUUACUGGCUGGGCUUGGGGCCGACCCGCAGAGCCCGACGUGGGGCUCGAACCCACGAACCUCAAGAUCAUGACCUGAGCUGAAACCAAGAGUUGGAUACUCGACCGACUGAACC